rnacentral:rRNA from 1 species
AACGUAGGACACAAGCGUUAUCCGGAAUUACUGGGCGUAAAGCGCGUGCAGGCGGCUCGUUAAGUUCGUUAUGAAAGCACCUGGCUAAACUGGGUGAGGCUGACGGAUACUGGCGAGCUAGAAUGAGACAGAGGCAGAUGGAAUUCCGCGUGUAGUGGUGAAAUGCGUAGAGAUGCGGAGGAACACCAGUGGCGAAGGCGGUCUGCUGGGUCUCAAUUGACGCUAAAGCGCGAAAGCAUGGGGAGCGAACGGG